ensembl:ncRNA C17G10.11 ncRNA
CGAAAAUCGCCAGUCCAGUCAGCCGUGAGAAACAACGAAAAACCAGACAACGUUAAGUAUUUUGUUAUGAAGAAGAGAGAAGAGAUACAGAUACAUCGAUACGAUUUGAGGUGACAAGUUCGUCGUCUCUGACGUAUAAGUCUCCCGUU